rnacentral:lncRNA from 1 species
CAUUUUAAGGUUCUGAACCUCUCCAUGGAGAGGCAGACCAAAUCAAUAUUAUUAAUAAAAAAUCUUCACCUUCUCCUUUUAACUAAUAACUAUUGUCUCUCACAUCUUGCUUAUAUUAGUCUUUUGGAUUAUUACGAUCUGAUAUGAUUGACCCUUCGUUUAUUUUGAUUGUUUUGUACUAUGAAAACUUUUUAAUCAAACACAUAUCUUGUUGAACAUGAAAAGAUUGUAAUUAUUACUGCUCUUUCCAGUAAUAGAACAGUAAAGGAGUAUAAUGCAACAGAGGGGCAAUUUUUUGGCCGAAACUCAAAUGUUCUUUUUCUUCUUUCUUUUUGUUUGCAAGGAGGGGGAGAAAUUUGUCUAUUGUUUCCAUAGGAACUUUCUGGUCAAAGUACAAGACGAGCUAACUAAUCUAUUUUCUUUAUAAUGCAGUUUAUUUAACUAUAGUAAAAAUAAAUUUAAUUCAACUAAUUAUAUAUAUUAUAUAAUUUAUUUAUAAUUUUCGCGUAUUAUUUUUACCUAGUCAAAUACAACUACAAUAACAUAAAACUUAAAUAAAUAUUUUAUAAAAAAUUUAUACAAUGACUUUUGUAUAUUUUGUAUAUGAUUUAUACAUAAUAAAAAUAAAUUUCAUACAACCAAUUAUAUAUUAUACAACAUAUCUAAAACUUAUCUACAAUUUUCAUACAUUAUUUAUACUUAGUUAUAUGCAACUACAAUAUCAAACAAUUUAAAUAUAAUUUUUUGCCACGAUCCGGAAUUUCCACCCUCGGGAGUGGUAAUGACGCCUACUCGUGGAGCAAGCCAUGAACAUUUGCAACAUUGUCCUAUCUCAUUUUAUGCAUGAUUAAAACUAUUAAAUAACUGAUGAAUAAGAAAUUAAAAGACAGUGAUUAAUAAAAGAUAGCGGAAGUCUGAACUAAUAUAGAAACAACGUCGAAAACAUCAAUACAAGUCUCUACACAAUACCUGGUGUCACAAUAUUUCACGGACCAUCUAGGAAUGCUAAAUACAAAGUCUGAAACAAUUUAAUAAAACUCUAUCUCGAUACAAGGGAAACAGGGCAGGAAAAGGUAGAAGAGAUGUCGGGCAUACAGAUGCCUGCAGGACUACCGUGGAAAUCUUGUGGACUAAAGGACUACUCCUGGCUACUGCUGCACACCGUAAGCUGCUCUGACACCUGGAUAUGUGCAAGAAAGCACAGAGUGUAGCAUCAACACAACCAACCCCAUGUUCUGGUAAGUGACUGGCCUACCCCCAACGAGGUAGUGACGAGGCUAAGAUCAGACUCCAGAUAAACCUGUGCAUAUAUAUAUAUAUAUAUAUUGGGAGUAAAUAAUUAAAGUUGGGAGGGGGAACAUGAUUCGAGCAUAGCAGAUAAAAGCAGAAUAUCAGGAAUAAUAAGGGGAAACUACAAUUUAACUUCUAACACAGAAUAAAGAAAUAAAGACAACUUUCACUUUCACUUUCGUCUUGUUGCGGGCAUGCAACCCGAUCCCAUUUCUCAUAUCUUAUGGUAGGCAUACCACCUACUCUCAUUUCAUCAUAUCUUGUGGUAGGCGUACCACCAGCUCCCAUUUCAUCGAUAACUUGUGGUAGGUGGUAUAACUUGUGGUAGGCGUACCACCAGCUCCCAUUUGCUUAAAAUAACUUGUGGUAGGCGUAUCAUCCACUCCCAUUUCAUGAAUAACUUGUGGUAGGCGUACCACCCGCUCAUAUUUCAAUCCAACACAAUAUCACAAUACAAUCUCGGCAAGGAAACAAAAAUAUCAAACCAAAUGUCCCGACAAGGGAGAAUCAGCUAUUACAACGGAGAAACAAUAGAAAUAAAUAAUUAAAGCUGGGAGGGAGAACAUGCUUCGGGGGUAGCAGAUAAAAGCAUAAUCUCAAGAAUAAUAUGGAAAUACUACAAUUUAAUUUCUAACACAGAAUAAAAACGUAAAAAAAACUUUCAUUUUUAAGUUUCAUCUUGUUGCAGGUAUGCAACUCGAUCCUAUUUCUCAUAUAUCGUAGUAGGCGUACCAUCCACUCCCAUUUCAUAAUAUCAUGUGGUAGGCGUAUCACCAUCUCCAAUUUCAUAAUAUCAUGUGGUAGGCAUACCAGCCGCUUCCAUUUCAUAAAUCUUGUGGUAGGCGUACCACCCGCUCCCAUCUCAAUCCAAAACAGUAUUAAAAAGAGAAUCCCGACAAAGAAACAAGAUAAUAUAAUGAUUUCCCCAGCAAGGGAACAAGAUAACAUAAUGAUUUCCGGGCAAGGGAAUAAGAAUAUCAAAUAAACUAUCCCAACAAGGGAGAUUCAUCUAUAACCAAUCUUAUUCAAUUUCUAUUUAACACAAUUAACACUAAUACUCAGUCAUAACCCAAGUCCACGAAAAUAACUAAUUACUUGCUCAGUAUCAAAGAUCAUCAAUCAAAGUUCUCAUAAUAUCAUUUAAGAAUACAACAAUUUAGAAAUUUUGAACUCACGGUCAUGCUCGAUACCAACGAAUAGAUAAUUGUUACCAUGCCUAUAUAUCGUACUCAACACAGAACAAGUAGCAAAUAUGACUUGACUCCUAAUCUCUCAAGUUACGGUUAGAACGAACACUUACCUCAAACUUCCACGGCCAAAUCAAUCCACAACUACCGCAUUCUCUCUCGAAUUCGACUCCAACUCAAUCAAAUCUAUGCAAUAAUGACUUCAUAAUAUCAACAUAUGCUAAACAAAUCAAACCUAAUGCAUAAUUAUAGAUUUCCAAGAUUUUUUCCCAAAAUUCCAAAAAUCAACCCCGAGCCCACCUGAUCAAAACACGAGGUUCGUACCAAAUUCAUAUCACCCAUUCACCCACGAGGCCGGAAUGUAUAAUUUGUUUUUAAAUUUGACCCCAAAAAAGUCUAAGUCAAGAAAAACCAAAAAACACUAACUCUACCCAAAUCCCUCAAUUUCUACCCUAAAUUACAUGUUUAAGCUUAGGAUUUCAUUAGAUGUUGAUGAAAAAUAAAGAAAACGAGUUAAGGAUUACUAACCCACAAAGUAUUGGUGAAAGAAAGCUUCAAUGGACGCCUAAGGACCGGAGAAGAGGGAGCUCGUAAAAACUUAUGAAAAAACCCGUAAUACACUAUUUUGGAAAUUUAAUUUUAGCUGGGCAAAAUUGUCCUUCGCGUUCGCGAAAGGCUAGUCGCGUUUGUGAAGGGUAGUUCUCAACAGGUCAUCGCAUUUGCGAUAUGAAGAAUGCGAACACGGAGAGAAAAGGCUGGGAGUCCAGGAUUUGUUCUAUGCGAACGCAUGGGACCUUACUCGAACACGGUGAAGGAGUUCCGCAAAACUACACGAUUGCAAGUGGGAGAAUGCGAACGCUAAAAGGAGAUGGAGAUUAAGCCCCAGGGUCAAUUGACACUACGUGAACACGAGGACAAGGGUUCGAACGAUGCAGAAAAUACUCAGAGCUUCGCAAACGCAGUAGAGACGUCGCGAACGUGAAGAACAACGGGACCUGCAAUAGCUGAAGCCAAAUUAUGCAAUUUCUCUAUGUUUGAAACCACUCCGAAAUACCUCUGGAAUACUCCUGAUAGCUCGGGGCUCCUAACCAAACAGAUACACUAACUCAACAACAUCCUACGAACUUAACCGUGAGAUCAAACCUCCAAAAUAACAUAAAAAACAAUGAACCAAACCAUAAAAUUAAUAAUUUUUCCUCAAACUUCAUUAACUUUCAAAUUUAGAACUUUAAGUCCGAAACACGUCAAACAACGUUCGAUUUCAACCAAACCUUACAGAAACAUCUUAUUUCACAUAAAAGACCUGUACCGAGUGCCGGAACCAAAAUACGGUCCCGAUAGCAACACGUUCUAAUCAAUUUUCAUUUCAAUUUUUCUUAAUAAUUUCAAAAAAUAAUUUUACUCAAAAAUUUAUAUCUCGGUCUUGGGACCUCGGAAUUCGAUUUUGGGCAUACGCCUAAGUCCCAUAUUAUCCUACGGACCCUCCGGAACAGUCUAAUCAUGGGCCCGGGUCCGUUUACCCAAAAUGUUGACCGAAGUCAAAUCUAUUCAUUUUAAUAAUAAAUUUUAGUAUUUUCCACAAAAUUUCAUAUUUAAGCUUUUUGGCUACGCGCUUGGACUGCGCACUCAAAUCGAGGUGAAUAUUAAUGAGAUUUUGAAGGCCUCAGAAGUACGGAAUGGAUAAGAAAACAGGUGAUGGCCCUUUGGGUCGUCACAUUUUUAUACAAUGUUGUUCAACUUUCAUACAGUAGUUAAAUAAAAAAUAUAUAUUUAAGCAAAACAAUUCAAUUUUUCUUUAAAGUUUCUACUAUUUUACUAUAAUUUCGUAAAUAUAAUGUAUAUCAUGGCUUCUUCUUCUUCUUCUUCUUCUUCUUCUUCUUCUUCUUCUUCUUCUUCCUCUUCUUCUUCCUCUUCGACCAGUUUCAAUGUGAAAUUAAGCCAAAAUUAAGUCUAAUAUUCACCAAAAUACCCUCAAAAUUGAGAUAUAAAUUUCAAACCAUCUUUUUCAAUUAUUUACAGCAACACCCAAUCCAAACAAAUAAUGGUUUUUAAUAAUUCAAAUUCGAAUUCAAAGUUUCAAAGCUUUUUAAUGGUUGUCGAUGGUGGAACUGUUGCUAUAUUUUCCUUUGUUUUACAUUACUGAAAUUAGGGAUUGAGAGAUAGAAAGAGAUGUCGAGAUAAUUCUCAAUUCUUUGCAACAACACCCAAUUCAAACAAAUAAUAUUUUUUGAAAACCCAAAUUCGAAUUCAAAGCUUCAAAACUUUUUAAUGGUUGUCAAUGGUGGAAUCGUGGGUGAGUGCAAGAUAUGUGGGGGAGAGGGUGAGAUGUGGAGAGUGAAAUGUGAAGGGAGUGGAAGAUACCUUAGAGUUAUUUUAGGACACUAAUUAUUAUCAUUAAUUCCCUUAAAAUAUACAUAAAUGAUAACUAGGUAUAUAAAAUAUAGUUAUAGUAAAACUUGUGUUGGCAGAACAAUAUUAUUUCAUAUAGUGUAUAAGAAUUUAAAAAUUCCUUUUGAUUAAGUCAUGCAAAGAAAGAAAAGGUUUCUAUUAAAUUACAUGGACGACAUAUUGGUUUUUGCUCUAAUUUAAAGAGAUCAUUUAGAUCCUUUGGUGUAGAAGUAAUAGGUAAUAAAUCAUAUAGUACUAUUACUUUUUCUUUUCGGGGCAGUGAAGAUCAAACUCACAACUAUUAUGUGAAAAAUUCUCAUCAGUAUCACUAGAUUAUAAACUUGGACCUUAACUCAAACUAACUUCCGGUAAUUUGAUUGUAACUAAUUAAUUAACUCAACAAAAUUUAACCCAAUAAUUACUAUAAAAAAAAGAAGAAUGGGAUGAAUUGGAUAAAUAUACAGACCCCCUUCUAUUAUAUAUAUAACCCUUUCCUGACUUAAUUGGAAGUUCCUAUAAUAAAUUGAUAGCUUUUGAAAAUGGAAUAAAAACAAAAGAAUAGGGAAAAGCCGAUUGAGCUUUUGGUAUAGGUGUUCCGGGGCUAAUAAUCUACGAAGAAAGGAGGGGAAAGGGCAGAUCAACCAAAGAUCCUACUCCUGAGAAUGUUACACUCCCAGUUUCGUAAGUGUGAGUGCGUUGCAAGUCAAUUGAUGUAAGCUCUGAAAUGAGAUCAUCUUUAAAAGUAAUUUUCAUUUUGUUUUAAGUCCCCAUCGACGAAAGAACAAAUCGGAAAAUAGUAAAUUUGAUGAAUUUUCAUUUUAUAUGGUCUCAUCUUUAUCACACUUCUUUGUCUUCCAAGUCAAAAAUAGUUUAGUUCUAAACUCCUUUCUUUUUCCAUUUAGGUUUUAUUGUUUGUUUGGGUUUGUAACUAUGUUACCACUGGAAGUGGAAGAGCUA